GACGAACGCUGGCGGCGUGCCUAAUACAUGCCAGUAGAACGCUGAAGAGAGGAGCUUACUCUUCUUGGAUGAGUUGCGAACGGGUGAGUAACGUGUAGGUAACCUGCCUUGUAGCGGGGGAUAACUAUUGGAAACGAUAGCUAAUACCGCAUAACAAUGGAUGACACAUGUCAUUUAUUUGAAAGGGGCAAUUGCUCCACUACAAGAUGGACCUGCGUUGUAUUAGCUAGUAGGUGAGGUAAUGGCUCACCUAGGCGACGAUACAUAGCCGACCUGAGAGGGUGAUCGGCCACACUGGGACUGAGACACGGCCCAGACUCCUACGGGAGGCAGCAGUAGGGAAUCUUCGGCAAUGGGGGCAACCCUGACCGAGCAACGCCGCGUGAGUGAAGAAGGUUUUCGGAUCGUAAAGCUCUGUUGUAAGUCAAGAACGGGUGUGAGAGUGGAAAGUUCACACUGUGACGGUAGCUUACCAGAAAGGGACGGCUAACUACGUG
rnacentral:rRNA from 1 species